rnacentral:rRNA from 1 species
UACGAAGGGGGCUAGCGUUGCUCGGAAUCACUGGGCGUAAAGCGCACGUAGGCGGGUCGUUUAAGUCGGGGGUGAAAUCCUGGAGCUCAACUCCAGAACUGCCUUCGAUACUGAAGAUCUUGAGUUCGGGAGAGGUGAGUGGAACUGCGAGUGUAGAGGUGAAAUUCGUAGAUAUUCGCAAGAACACCAGUGGCGAAGGCGGCUCACUGGCCCGAUACUGACGCUGAGGCACGAAAGCGUGGGGAGCAAACAGG